rnacentral:rRNA from 1 species
AUAUCAAUAAGCGGAGGAAAAGAAACCAACAGGGAUUGCCCCAGUAACGGCGAGUGAAGCGGCAACAGCUCAGAUUUGAAACCUGGCCCCGGGUCCGGAUUGUAAUCUGUAGAAGGUGCCUCGGGGGCGACGUCGGCCCAAGUUCCUUGGAACAGGGCGUCACAGAGGGUGAGAAUCCCGUACGUGGCCGCCCGUCAACCCCGUGCGAGGCCCUUUCGACGAGUCGAGUUGUUUGGGAAUGCAGCUCUAAGUGGGUGGUAAAUUUCAUCUAAAGCUAAAUACCGGCCAGAGACCGAUAGCGCACAAGUAGAGUGAUCGAAAGAUGAAAAGCACUUUGAAAAGAGAGUCAAAAAGUACGUGAAAUUGUUGAAAGGGAAGCGCUUGCAACCAGACUCGCGCGCGGGUGCUCAGCCGUCCCUCGGGGCGGUGCGCUCUCCCGCGCUCGGGCCAGCAUCGGUUCGGGCGACCGGAUAAAGGCCCCGGGAACGUGAUUUCCUUCGGGGAAUGUUAUAGCCCGGGGCGCAAUGCGGCCAGCCCGGACCGAGGACCGCGCUCUUUGCUAGGAUGCUGGCGUAAUGGUUGCCAGCGACCCGUCUUGAAACACGGACCAAGGAGUCGACCAACUCCGCGAGUGUUUGGGCGUAAAACCCAUGCGCGCAAUGAAAGUGAAUAUGGUAUGAGCUUCGGCGCAAUAUCGACCGAUCUUGAAAUUUAUGGAUGGAUUUGAGUAUGAGCGAAGUUGGUCGGACCCGAAAGAUGGUGAGCUAUGCGUGAAUAGGGUGAAGCCAGAGGAAACUCUGGUGGAGGCUCGCAGCGGUUCUGACGUGCAAAUCGAUCGUCAAAUUUGCGUAUAGGGGCGAAAGACUAAUCGAACCAUCUAGUAGCUGGUUCCUGUCGAAGUUUCCCU